UGUUUGUUUUUCUAUAAAAACUGGACUUUGUUCAGCUGUGGAGAACCUUGCAGACAUUUUCUUUGUGUGACAUUUAUCAGGGUAUUUCAGUGGAAGGCGUCACCUGUUACCGUGGAAAGACCGCCGUCAUUUCACUUUCACUUCAGCUCCAACACGAUGCACAGCAUCGGCUGUGGAAAGACCUUUUAAAUACUCUCUUCUUGGAUUUUCUUUUUCUUUUUAAAAUCAUCUCUACUAAGCUGUAGAUGUUGGCAUUUCGUCGUGUUGGAUUAUAAUUGGCUUAGAUCUGCUGGGCUGAUGGACACGACACAGCUGCUGGAAAUUUAAAGCAACUGCAGAUUAAAUUGGGGCCAAAGUAAAAGUGAAACCGACUGGUUUUCUUCAACGGCCUGAAUCUUUGUUCGCUUCGCCGAGGCUCUGUGGCUUGGAUGAAUUUUAAUUCACUAAAACCGAAGGAUGUGAUGGAUUUAAGGAUACCAGUCUGUAAAGCAUCUGAUCGCUGGGAGAAAAAAGGAAGAAGAGGAGACGCAGACAGAUUGUGGGCAUCUUGUAUCUCUGGCAUUAUGCACCAUCAGCAGAAAUAACAGACCUUUUGGACAUAUAGAAAGUUUCACAUGUUUUUUUGUGGUUCUUGUUUUUCAUUGUGGAUUUUUGUGUCACGGUUGUUUAGCCCAAGUAUUCAUACAUUUGAAACUUUUUCCACAUUACGUCUCUUUGCACAGACUGUAGCAUAAAAUGCCUCAUAAUUCUGAAAUGGAAGGAAGAUGGUUCAUUUUGAUUUGUUUUGUUUUCAGUUUAGUUAUUUAUUGCUCUUUUAAUUUAUUUUAAAUUUUUCCUGGUCAGCCUCCCCAGUUGAUGUUUUGUAGAAACGCCUUUUGCUCAAUUAUACCUACUGGUCUGUUGGAGUAAAUCUCUGAAAACUUUCACAUCCAGUGACUAAAAAUAUUCCUGUUUGGGAAAAAUGGCGUCUGUGAUCAGCCGUCUUCACGUAGUUCCAUUAACUAAUUGAUUUAAGCUCAAAUGGCUCAAUUGUUCUCAGCCAGGUGUGGCCAGCUCCUGCUCCUUUGUGUCCUGAAUGAUCUUCCUCUGAUUCAACACACCUGAAUUAAAUGAAUGUUUGUCCAGAAUUCUUCAGUAAUUGAUCCUUUCGGUAAACUGCGCUGGACACACCUAAAACAUGCAACCCUGCAGCUUUCAUGGGCUGAACGUGGCCAACCAGAAAAGGAUCCUCGGCAUAAUGCUGCCAACAAUCUGAACGGAUUCUCCAACUUGACACAAAAACUUUCCGUUCACAGUUUUGCUGGUCUAUCAAUAGAUCUAAUGUUAUGUUAUGUAAGUUGACCUGGUGUUUUAAUAAAGGACUUCACCCUCAUUGGAACUG